UUUUUUUUCUGUUUGGUU
rnacentral:sRNA from 1 species